GGCCCGGUGCACAGGUGACGGUUCCUUCGUCUGUGGAACGAGAGGUUGCGGGUUCGAAUCCCGUCCGGCCCG
rnacentral:tRNA from 2 species